AACCUUAUGGACCUGCGGGCGUAUACCUGCGGAAGGAUCAUUACAUUCAGUAGCCUAGCUACUUGUUUACACCCUUGUUUUUUUGCGCACUUCAUUGUAUCCCUCGGCGGGCUUGCUCGCCGGUUGGACAACAUUUAUAACCUUUUUUAAUCUUCAAUCAGCGUCUGAAUUAUAUUUAAUAAUUACAACUUUUAACAACGGAUCU
rnacentral:misc_RNA from 1 species